ACUCCUACGGGAGGCAGCAGUAGGGAAUCUUCCACAAUGGGCGAAAGCCUGAUGGAGCAACGCCGCGUGAGUGAAGAAGGUUUUCGGAUCGUAAAACUCUGUUGUAAGGGAAGAACAAGUACAGUAGUAACUGGCUGUACCUUGACGGUACCUUAUUAGAAAGCCACGGCUAACUACGUGCCAGCAGCCGCGGUAAUACGUAGGUGGCAAGCGUUGUCCGGAAUUAUUGGGCGUAAAGCGCGCGCAGGCGGUCCUUUAAGUCUGAUGUGAAAGCCCACGGCUCAACCGUGGAGGGUCAUUGGAAACUGGGGGACUUGAGUGCAGAAGAGGAAAGUGGAAUUCCAAGUGUAGCGGUGAAAUGCGUAGAGAUUUGGAGGAACACCAGUGGCGAAGGCGACUUUCUGGUCUGUAACUGACGCUGAGGCGCGAAAGCGUGGGGAGCAAACAGGAUUAGAUACCCUGGUAGUCCACGCCGUAAACGAUGAGUGCUAAGUGUUAGGGGGUUUCCGCCCCUUAGUGCUGCAGCUAACGCAUUAAGCACUCCGCCUGGGGAGUACGGUCGCAAGACUGAAACUCAAAGGAAUUGACGG
rnacentral:rRNA from 1 species